ensembl:snRNA U6 U6 spliceosomal RNA
GUUUUUGCUGUGGAGCACAUACACUAAAGUUGGAACAGUAUAGAGAAGAUUACUGUGGCCCUUGGGUGAGGAUGACACACAAAUUCCUGAAGUGUUCCAUAUUUUU